UACGGGGGGGGCAAGCGUUGUUCGGAAUUACUGGGCGUAAAGGGCUCGUAGGUCGCCAACUAAGUCAGACGUGAAAUCCCUCGGCUUAACCGGGGAACUGCGUCUGAUACUGGAUGGCUUGAGUUUGGGAGAGGGACGCGGAAUUCCAGGUGUAGCGGUGAAAUGCGUAGAUAUCUGGAGGAACACCGGUGGCGAAGGCGGCGUCCUGGACCAACACUGACACUGAGGAGCGAAAGCCAGGGAGCAAACGGG
rnacentral:rRNA from 1 species